rnacentral:tRNA from 1 species
ACCUGGGUGGCUCAGUCAGUUAAGCGUCUGACUUCAGCUCAGGUCAUGAUCUCAUGGCUUGUGGGUUCAAGCCCCGCAUCAGGUU